rnacentral:lncRNA from 1 species
UCAUCAAAGAAGGAACCAAAGGCAUCAUGAACUCCAGACAAGCGCUCCCAUUGGCUCCCAGCCCUGAAUAUUUUCUUAUUCAAAGAGAAUAAGACAACAAAACUAAGGCAACGUUGGCCUCAGAGCUUUUUAAUUUCACUUACUGAACUCUGAUUAUAUCCUGAAAUUGAAGGUUUGCUCCAAACUAAUUCACACACCUUUGAUGUUUCACACACUUUUGUAAUUAAAUAAAUCAUGACUAAAACAAGAUCUUUUUCU